rnacentral:rRNA from 1 species
CCUACGGGUGGCAGCAGUGAGGAAUAUUGGUCAAUGGGCGGAAGCCUGAACCAGCCAAGUAGCGUGCGGGAUGAAGGCCCUACGGGUCGUAAACCGCUUUUGCACGGGGAUAACACCCUCCACUUGUGGGGUUCUGCAGGUACCGUGCGAAUAAGGGCCGGCUAAUUCCGUGCCAGCAGCCGCGGUAAUACGGAAGGGCCGAGCGUUAUCCGGAUUUAUUGGGGUUAAAGGGAGCGUAGGGGGGCCGUCAAGUCAGCUGUGAAAGUUGGCGGCUCAACCGGAGCACUGCAGUUGAAACUGGCAGCCUUGAGUACAGUAGAGGCAGGCGGAAUUCGUGGUGUAGCGGUGAAAUGCAUAGAUAUCACGAGGAACCCCGAUUGCGAAGGCAGCCUGCCGGGGUGCGACUGACGCUGAGGCUCGAAGGUGCGGGUAUCAAACAGGAUUAGAUACCCGUGUAGUC